AUUGAACGCUGGCGGCAGGCCUAACACAUGCAAGUCGAACGGUAGCACAGAGAGCUUGCUCUCGGGUGACGAGUGGCGGACGGGUGAGUAAUGUCUGGGAAACUGCCCGCUGGAGGGGGAUAACUACUGGAAACGGUAGCUAAUACCGCAUAACGUCACAAGACCAAAGUGGGGGACCUUCGGGCCUCACACCAUCGGAUGUGCCCAGAUGGGAUUAGCUAGUAGGUGGGGUAAUGGCUCACCUAGGCGACGAUCCUUAGCUGGUCUGAGAGGAUGACCCGCCACACUGGAACUGAGACACGGUCCAGACUCCUACGGGAGGCAGCAGUGGGGAAUAUUGCACAAUGGGCGCAAGCCUGAUGCAGCCAUGCCGCGUGUAUGAAGAAGGCCUUCGGGUUGUAAAGUACUUUCAGCGGGGAGGAAGGCGGUGAAGUUAAUAACUUCACCGAUUGACGUUACCCGCAGAAGAAGCACCGGCUAACUCCGUGCCAGCCGCCGCCGUAA
rnacentral:rRNA from 1 species